UACGGGAGGCAGCAGUGGGGAAUAUUGCACAAUGGGCGCAAGCCUGAUGCAGCCAUGCCGCGUGUAUGAAGAAGGCCUUCGGGUUGUAAAGUACUUUCAGUCGUGAGGAAGGUGUUAAGGUUAAUAACCUUAGCAAUUGACGUUAGCGACAGAAGAAGCACCGGCUAACUCCGUGCCAGCAGCCGCGGUAAUACGAAGGGGCUAGCGUUGCUCGGAAUUACUGGGCGUAAAGGGAGCGUAGGCGGACAUUUUAAGUCAGGGGUGAAAUCCCGGGGCUCAACCUCGGAAUUGCCUUUUGAUACUGGGUGUCUUGAGUAUGAGAGAGGUGUGUGGAACUCCGAGUGUAGAGGUGAAAUUCGUAGAUAUUCGGAAGAACACCAGUGGCGAAGGCGACACACUGGCUCAUUACUGACGCUGAGGCUCGAAAGCGUGGGGAGCAAACAGGAUUAGAUAACC
rnacentral:rRNA from 1 species